AAGACGUAACAAGGUUUCCGUAGGUGAACCUGCGGAAGGAUCAUUACAGUGAGGCUGCUCGGGCAACACCCGAGUCCGCUUUCAAAACCCAAUGUCUACCAAUCCAGGUUGCUUCGGCGGGCCGUCCGGCCUAGCUAGCCACCGGCUUCGGCCGGUGAGCGCCCGUCCGAGGACCGUAAAAAUCAGGCGUACCGGCAGUCAGAGCCCAAAGUAAAAUGAAGCAAAACUUUCAACAACGGAUCUCUUGGUUCCGGCAUCGAUGAAGAACGCAGCGAAAUGCGAUAAGUAAUGUGAAUUGCAGAAUUCAGUGAACCAUCGAGUCUUUGAACGCACAUUGCGCCCCUUGGUAUUCCGAGGGGCACGCCUGUCCGAGCGUCGUUCCAACCCCUCAAGCCCAGCUUGGUAUUGAGCCGCGCCCCGCGUGGGCGGGCUUGGAAGCCGUUGGCGGCACGGUGCCCCCGAGAAGCGUGAUGCACUCACCGACUCGGGCGGGCGCCCACCGACCUCAACCCCAGACCUAUGAAGUCGACCUCGGAUCAGGCGGGGAUACCCGCUGAACUUAAGCAUAUCAAUAAGCGGAGGAAAAGAAACCAACUGGGAUUGCCUUAGUAACGGCGAGUGAAGCGGCAACAGCUCAAAUUUGAAAUCUGGCACCCUCACGGAGGCCCGAGUUGUAAUUUGAAGAGGAUGCCUCGUGGAGGACGCCGCCCCAAGUUCCCUGGGACGGGACGCUGCAGAGGGUGAGAGCCCCGUACGCGGGCGGCCGUCCGAAGCGUGUGAGGCUCCUUCGACGAGUCGAGUUGUUUGGGAAUGCAGCUCAAAUUGGGAGGUAAAUUUCUUCUAAGGCUAAAUACCGGCCGGAGACCGAUAGCGCACAAGUAGAGUGAUCGAAAGAUGAAAAGCACUUUGAAAAGAGAGUCAAACAGCACGUGAAAUUGUUGAAAGGGAAGCGCUCGCAACCAGACUCGGCCCCAGUGGAUCAGCCGUCGCCUUUCGGCGGCGCGCUCUACGGGGGCCGGGCCAGCGUCGGUCCGGGCGGCCGGAUAAAGACGCCGGGAAUGUGGCUCCCCUCGGGGAGUGUUAUAGCCCGUCGUGGAAUGCGGCCAGCCGGGACCGAGGACCGCGCUUCGGCUAGGACGCUGGCGUAAUGGUUGUGAGCGGCC
rnacentral:rRNA from 1 species